rnacentral:misc_RNA from 1 species
CCGCACAAGCAGCGGCAGAACUCCCGGAUCCAUCCCUCUUUGUCGGAGUCCGCUGCUGAUCAUAGACUAAUCAUCCGUGCACUGGCAACUGCAAACCGUUCUCUUUUUUUCUGCGAGUGUAGAUACACGUGCAGUGAUCGACCCUACACGGACAGCUUACAUCCACCGCUCGGCCCCCCGAAGACGCCUUCAGCAACGAUAGAUCGAUAACUGGCACGUGCGCCCCUACUCAUUCUUCACCUUUUCACUCUCUCAUCAGCCUCGUGUGCUGAGGUGCAGCACUCGUCAAGUGUGCGUCGGCCCCCCCCCCUCCCCCCGUCUUUGACGGCCGGCGGCGUCGAUGGGGCGCCCCUCCCUCAUGGAGCGGUACUUCGCUCAGUGCCAGGCGCAUCGCACUUCACCGCACCCGGCGUUUGUUGCCGGUCUCCGCGAGGGCGCGAUGGACAUAAACUUCGCGGAGAUUCCUCUUGCCGACAUCCGCCUCUUUGCGCACGCACUCCUGGACGUGUCCCCAGCAGCUCGCGCCGCGCGUUCGCCAGCAGCACGGUCUCGGAAUACAUCAGGACAGCUGAGUCGACGAGACGCUGCCUCAGACACUAGCCCGUCCUCUCGGCCGAGAACAAGCGCCUUCUCGCGGACGCAGUUCGCCAAGCUUCACUUUUCUUACAACGCUACGGUGCCAGCGGCGCAGCUCCCGUGCGGCGCGGCCUCGCCGCCUGCGUCAACGCCUUGGUUCACUCAGAAUGAGCCGACGCUGCGGCGUCUGCCACAGGCAGUGGCGCAGGCAGUGAAGGAAAGCGCCACCACCCUGAGCUCCUUCUCCUGGUGCGGCAUGCCGCUCACUAGCAUGGCGGUGCAGGGUCGUGCACCGCUGCAGCAGCAGCGAGGCAUUGGACGAGUGCUGCCGUCGCUGACACGCGUUCUCCCACUGUGCCAUUGUCUCACCUCCCUGCGCCUGGACGGUGUCCCACUCUCGCAUGCGCAGUUCAUGCAGCUGACUACGCCCUUCCCCAAGUCACCUGAGGCAUCGGCGGACGGCGGUGUGACGUGGCCGGCGCUGGAGGAGGCAAGCUUUGUGGGGUGCGGACUGACUGAUGCGUGCAAAAACGGCCUCGUGCACCUCAUACGUGCCGCCGUGCCGACUGCCUCGGACUCCACGUGGCAGCGCUCGCUGCGGGGCGGCUACGCGAAUCUGGACGAUCGACUUUUGCCACGGCCAGCCGGCGGCACCGUGCCUCUCGGUCACUCGGCGACGCGGGGUCUGAAGGGGCUAGAUGCCAGUCAAAACCCGCUGGGCGACGAGACAGCGCGUGCGGUCGCAAACGCUGUUCCCGGCUCCGCCCUACGCUAUCUUAACAUGUCCAGCACCUCCAUCACCUGGAUGGGCGGCUCCUUGCUAGCUUCGCGUCCGGUGCUGGAGGGCACUGCAAUGGAGCUGCUGGACAUGAGCAACACGGGCGUCAGCGAGGUGUUCUCCCACGCCGGGGGUGCUGCGGAGGCAAAGAUGCUGGUCGAGUCUAGCGCCGCCGCCGGCUUCCGGGUGCUGGCGCGUGGUAUGGGGCAGUUGCUGGUCCUGAGAGAGUCGGAUCGCUCGCCGCAGCAGUCGUGGCUUAUUCAAACGACCACUGCUAUCGCGCCACAGCCGUCGCCAGCGUCAGCGCCGGAGCCGCCACACGUGGAGUCCCCCACGAUCCCCACGUGCCCCCCGGCCUCCGUGAUUGAGAUGGAGAGGGUGGCGCCGCCAGCACCACCAGCCCCACCAGCCCCACCACUGCCAUCCUCCAACACUGGCGAUCAACACAGCGCUCCACAAUCUGUCCAUAACUCAGCUGCUGCUCCAGGGCCUGCUGUGAGCCCCUACGGACCCUGGUGGCCCAUGUUCGCCAGUUGGUACGCUGCACGAGACACCAACAUUCCCACAAGCUCAGCCGAUGCUGCGGCGACAGGUAGCUCUGCUGCUGGUCUGGUCAAAGGGUAUAUACCGGUGCCGGUUCCGUUUCCGAUGUUGGCUCCCAUGCCGAUUCCCUAUACCGCUCCUCAUGGAGAGGAUCUCCCCUUCGCCGGUGCGGCCACCGUGGCUGCCGCCGCCGCCACUUCUCCCCACGAGACGGGUGCUGUGGCUGAGGACAGCACGCCUUUUCCAGAGCGAAGGGUUUCCACCCCUCCCGCCGACGACCCCAUCGACGUGGCGGCAGAGACAUCGGUGCCGUUGCCUUCACCUACCUCUUCAGGCGAGAAGCACGACAAGGAGGGUGGCGGGAGUUUCACGGGUGGUCUUUCGAACCCCCCUGACGCGGCAUCGACAGCGUCCCAAGCUGCGGCCGUUGCCGCGAGCGCGUCUGACGACCUUGUGCACCGGGCGAGCGAAACCGCCGGGGACCGCAAGUUUCUCCUUGCACUGAUCAGCCGCCUCGAGGCACACGAGAGCGACGUCACCGAGCGCCUUGAGGCACAGUACCAGCGAACGACAGCGCAGCUGACGUCGUUGGAGAAGGACAUGCGCUUUCGCCUUCAGCAACUUGCCGACGCGGAUCGCAAGGAGCGGGCGGCAGCGGCGGACCGGCAAACGGCCUUGCUCGAGGCCCUGGCCGCCCUCCGCGCCGAGCCGGUUGCCGUGUCUGCGGAGGGCAUGACGGAGACGAUGCUGCUACAGCUCAUGCAUCUCAUAGAGGCGGGGAUGGGAAAGGUACAGACGGCGUUGGGCGCAGAAGGCGCUGUAGGUACGAAGAGCGCGAGGGCUGGAGAGAGCAGGGUAUCACCGCUGUUGCGCUCCAAAGAGGCCGCCACCCAUGUCGGUGCGGCAACGAUCACGGACCGUGAUCUGGUGAAGACGGCGAGCCAGCGUCUCAAAGAGCUUGGCUGGUAAGCACUGCGCACGGCGCUUUCGUUUGUGUGUGCCUUUUUUUUUCGCAAUCGCUCUGUGAUGGGCCGCCGCUUCGUCGAUCGGCGCCGUCGUCAGGCUGCUGUUCCUCUCUCGACUCCAGCGGCGUAUGCACCUGCGUGCCAGACCACGCCAAUGCGCUGGCGCGCAUGCGACAUGCACACACAAGCGCAUACAUGCACGAACACAAACACAUCAACGGCACGCGUGC